AUGAGCACGGUGAUUCUUUGCCAUGCAGAAUCUGUAAAUUUGGAUACGAUUCGAGCUUCCGAUGCAAAUAUUAUUAGAUACAGUGUUGGUGUGAAAAUGACCGAGUUGAAAGACAUGCUAAAACAAUACACUGCUGGCCGAAUUCGGAACCUCGGCCUCCAUAUCCAAACCCGCGACACGAAACUUCGAAUAUUAGAGGAUAUGGAAGUAACGAAAGAAUCCCUUGAAAACGCCGGCUCAUUCGUCUCCCAAUUUUUUCGAUGGCUCAUUUCAGAAGUAUUGAUCGAGGGGGCGUUUAUCGAUUUUUUGCUGACCACGCCCAUCGAAAACGCGUCGCAAAUUUGUUUGGCAGUGCAGAGUGUUAGCAAGAAAAAGAUUUCCGUGCGUUUGGUAAGCAGAUUUUUGUCGUCCGAGCUGGCUCCCCAUAACAGAAGAAUCGUCGAGAUUUAUAUCAAUAAUGAGAUAAUGAUAACAAACCCGAAUCCGAGAGCCACAUCGGCACAAAAUCGAUAUGAACGUAUUCGGACUGUUGGAAAAGGUGCCUUCGGGUCCGCCGUGCUCUACCGCCGAAGAGAAGACAGUUCGUUGGUGAUUAUAAAAGAAAUCAAUAUGUACGAUUUGGAUAGUUCACAGAGGAGAUUAGCGCUGAAUGAGGUUUCACUGUUAUCACGUAUCGAGCACCCCAAUAUAAUUGCAUACUAUGAUUCAUUUGAAGAAGAAGGUGUUUUAAUGAUUGAAAUGGAAUAUGCUGAUGGUGGAACACUUGCUCAAAUGUUAUCAAGAACACAGAAUUUGUUGGAUGAAGAGCAAAUUGGCGAUAUGAUGAUUCAAAUGUGCUCGGCGGUGGCCUACUUGCAUGAGAAUAGUGUUUUGCACAGAGACCUAAAAACUGCCAACGUCUUCCUAACUCGAGACUCAUUUGUAAAAAUCGGCGACUUUGGAAUCUCCAAAAUAAUGGGCACUGAAACAUUGGCUCAAGGAGCAAAAACAGUUGUCGGAACACCGUAUUACAUAAGUCCAGAGAUGUGUUCAGGUGUCUCUUAUAAUGAGAAAAGUGAUAUGUGGGCUCUUGGAUGUAUUCUUUAUGAAAUGUGUUGUUUGAAGAAAGCGUUUGAAGGUGACAAUCUUCCCGCGUUGGUCAAUAGUAUUAUGACGUGUGCCUACACACCAGUAAAAGGACCUUACUCGGCUGAAAUGAAAAUGGUGAUACGGGAAUUGCUACAGUUGGAUCCGCAAAAGAGGCCCUCCGCUCCGCAGGCGCUAAAGAUGCUGCGACCUUCGGAAAACCGUCACCGACACACCUCCGGAUCAAUGAGAUCUUCGGUUUCGUUCACAACUCUCUACGAUUUGCAUGUCCCGACAAUCACCCUGUCCUCAAUUCCAGACCUUCCCAGCCGGAUAUCGAUUAAGCAGGUCGCUCUGAGCAAAACUCAUACAAUGGUGCUCACAAAUGAUAAUGAACUUUUCGGAUUUGGUGAUAACUCUUGUGGACAACUGGGAUUCGGGAAGUUUUCGAAAAUGGAAAACGGGCGGUUGGUGGAGAGUUUGAAGGGCAGAGAUAUACAAUCAGUUGGGGUUGGGAAUUAUUUUAGUGUAAUCUGCUGUGAUCGGGGGACCUUAUUGACAUUUGGUACUGCAAAGAACCUCGGUUUGGGGAAAGAUGCAAAAGAUUCAGCGAAGCCGAUGCUCCUCGAGCAACUUUUGAGAGAAAAUAUCAAAGACAUAUAUUGCGGUCAUGACCAUGUGGUGGCCGUAUUGGAAAGUGGUGAAUGUCUAGGAUGGGGAAGUAAUCAAUACGGACAACUCGGGCUGCCAACGUUGGAGCACUUUUUUGCUCCGACUAAGAUUCCGAUGCCGAGCAACAAGAAAAUCGUGUACGGGAAGGCUGGGAAAGAUGCGACGAUGCUAUUAUCGGAUGAUGGAAGUUUGAUAGCAAUGGGCUCAAAUAAGCAUAAUAAGCUGAAUCUUACACAGAGGGUCGGGUUCUUUACAAAAGAGAAAAAGACACCAAACGAUUAUGUCAACAAGCCGACGAUUCUUCAAGGAUUCCCGGAGCGAGUCGUCGAUUUCUCGGUUGGAAGUUAUCAUUCGGGAGUUAUACUGGAAUCCGGUCAAGUGAUGAUUUUCGGCCGUAAUGACAACACUGAACUCGGCCUCGGGAAUAGCCAAAAAAUGGCGGUUCGAUGUGUGAAACCGGUCAAAUCGCUGCUUCAUCACGCCUGCACGCACGUACUCUGCGGUGAUGGGUUCACUCUGGUGAGCACAACGGAGCAGGAACUCUACUUUUGGGGACGAAAGGAUCUGACAGACGAAGAUGUGUGUAUUGAUGAUCUUGAAGAAACCGUCACUGAAAAAAAGAUGAAGCGGGGCACCACUACUGAGAUUUUCGACAAAAAUGUGGUCACUUUACCGUCGUUGAUUCUCAGGGUUUUUUCAAACGCAAACUUUCUGUGUUUCCUGGAAAAAAACGGCUUUUUGAUGUCUGAGUCAAAAAUGGGUGAAGUCUACAAUUAUCAAACCACGCCCCUUUCUUGGUUAUUACUAAAACAGGAUCUGUUGCUUUUUUGGCACUUUUCGGGCAAUUUUACAUGGUUUUUGCCAGUCUCUGCUUCAAGAUGAAAGAGGCGACAAAGGGAUUCGGCUCUCCGGUCUGGCAGUUUCCGGCCGAAAAGUGCAUGUGGCAGUGGAUAUGCUCGAAGGGAAAAGACUUCCUUCCGCUCUCGCAGAAAGGUGCAGAAGUGGGUCGGCGCCAGCGAUCAACGACGAGACGACUCAUACUUGGCUCCGAGAGGAGUUCGAGAAGGCUGAAAUUAUACCAAUUGACGCGUCGAAACGACGAGUUCGGUUUGAUGAUUCUUGUGAGAAGCUGAAAAUUAUGGACGCGACUGCCAAACAAAACUCAUUGCUCCGCGAGAUCGAGGACCUAAAAUCGAAAAUUAAAGAGCAAGACACCACAUUCGAAGGUCACCGCAAUCAAAUGUCCGAUUUGGAGUCAAAACUGCAAGAGCUUCAAGCCAAACAGUCAUUCCUCCGGAAAUCCGAACCACCUCCAGCCUAUGAUCGACGGAAUGUCACGUAUAACAAACUGUUUCCAGAAAGGGAGAAUACGAGUACAACAUGUGUUAUUUUGUAA
rnacentral:misc_RNA from 1 species